rnacentral:rRNA from 1 species
GUAACACGUGGAUAACCUGCCCUUGGGACCUGCAUAACCCCGGGAAACUGGGGAUAAUUCGGGAUAACGCAUAUGUGCUGGAAUGCUUUAUGCGUAAAAAGGAUUCGUCCGCCCAAGGAUGGGUCUGCGGCCUAUCAGGUAGUAGUGGGUGUAAUGUACCUACUAGCCGACAACGGGUACGGGUUGUGAGAGCAAGAGCCCGGAGAUGGAUUCUGAGACAUGAAUCCAGGCCCUACGGGGCGCAGCAGGCGCGAAAACUUUACAAUGCGGGAAACCGUGAUAAGGGGACACCGAGUGUCAGCAUCAUAUGCUGGCUGUCCAGGUGUGUAAAAUACACCUGUUAGCAAGGGCCGGGCAAGACCGGUGCCAGCCGCCGCGGUAACACCGGCGGCCCGAGUGGUGAUCGUGAUUAUUGGGUCUAAAGGGUCCGUAGCCGGUUUGGUCAGUCCUCCGGGAAAUCUGAUAGCUCAACUAUUAGGCUAUCGGGGGAUACUACCAGACUUGGAACCGGGAGAGGUAAGAGGUACUACAGGGGUAGGAGUGAAAUCUUGUAAUCCCUGUGGGACCACCUGUGGCGAAGGCGUCUUACCAGAACGGGUUCGACGGUGAGGGACGAAAGCUGGGGGCACGAACCGGAUUAGAUACCCGGGUAGUCCCAGCCGUAAACGAUGCUCGCUAGGUGUCAGGCAUGGCGCGACCGUGUCUGGUGCCGCAGGGAAGCCGUGAAGCGAGCCACCUGGGAAGUACGGCCGCAAGGCUGAGACUUAAAGGAAUUGGCGGGGGAGCACACAUCACUAGUG